GUCUCCACCACCACUCCGAGGGCAAACAAUCCUAAGUAGGACUUGGAAUUCCUGGAGAAUUGUUUUUGUGAUAAACUGGAAAUCAUUUCUUUAAUCCCAUCUCUUAGUUUUCCAUAGGGACGUCAGGAAACC
rnacentral:other from 1 species